GCAGACACAUUCCAGCCAAUCAGCAGCAGACCCUCCCUCCCAGACCCUCCACCUCCUGGACAGCAUCCAUUUUACAUUCAUUGUGAAGCUGCAUUCUUAGUGAGCUGUCCAGGAGGUGGGAGGGUCUGGGAGGGAGGGUCUGCUGCUGAUUGGCUGGAAUGUGUCUG
rnacentral:miRNA from 1 species